rnacentral:rRNA from 1 species
GAUGAACGCUGGCGGCGUGCCUAAUACAUGCAAGUCGAGCGAACAGACGAGGAGCUUGCUCCUCUGACGUUAGCGGCGGACGGGUGAGUAACACGUGGAUAGCCUACCUAUAAGACUGGGAUAACUUCGGGAAACCGGAGCUAAUACCGGAUAACAUGUUGAACCGCAUGGUUCAACAGUGAAAGACGGUUUUGCUGUCACUUAUAGAUGGAUCCGCGUCGCAUUAGCUAGUUGGUAAGGUAACGGCUUACCAAGGCAACGAUGCGUAGCCGACCUGAGAGGGUGAUCGGCCACACUGGAACUGAGACACGGUCCAGACUCCUACGGGAGGCAGCAGUAGGGAAUCUUCCGCAAUGGGCGAAAGCCUGACGGAGCAACGCCGCGUGAGUGAAGAAGGUCUUCGGAUCGUAAAACUCUGUUAUUAGGGAAGAACAAAUGUGUAAGUAACUAUGCACGUCUUGACGGUACCUAAUCAGAAAGCCACGGCUAACUACGUG